rnacentral:rRNA from 1 species
AUUGAACGCUGGCGGCAUGCCUUACACAUGCAAGUCGAACGGCAGCGGGGACUUCGGUCCGCCGGCGAGUGGCGAACGGGUGAGUAAUGUAUCGGAACGUACCUUUCAGUGGGGGAUAACGUAGCGAAAGUUACGCUAAUACCGCAUAUUCUCUGAGGAGGAAAGCAGGGGACCUUCGGGCCUUGUGCUGAUGGAGCGGCCGAUAUCAGAUUAGCUAGUUGGUGAGGUAAAGGCUCACCAAAGCGACGAUCUGUAGCGGGUCUGAGAGGAUGAUCCGCCACACUGGGACUGAGACACGGCCCAGACUCCUACGGGAGGCAGCAGUGGGGAAUUUUGGACAAUGGGCGCAAGCCUGAUCCAGCCAUGCCGCGUGAGUGAAGAAGGCCUUCGGGUUGUAAAGCUCUUUCGGACGGGAAGAAAUUGGUGGGGCUAAUAUCCCCAUCGGAUGACGGUACCGUAAUAAGAAGCACCGGCUAACUACGUGCCAGCCGCCGCAGUAA